GCUUCGGUGGUGUAGUGGUUGCCGCACGCGUUACCGGUAUAGAUAAAACGCGGGUUCGAUUCCCGCCUGAAGCC